UACACACCGCCCGUCACACCAUGGGAGUUGGCUGCACCAGAAGUAGGUAGCUUAACCGCAAGGGGGGCGCUUACCACGGUGUGGUCAAUGACUGGGGUG
rnacentral:rRNA from 1 species